ACGCAGCAGCCUCCGCAGCGCUCGGCUCCUUAGGCGAGCCCCAUUCCGGUCUGCAAGUCCAGCAGGGUGAUCUGAUGGGAAGUUGGCUGCAAGAGAGUCCACCUUAGCUCCGCGAGGAGUUACCACACAGGCAUCUAAUUUCUUGCUUUCCCUUCUUCCGUGGCCCUUGCCUGGAAGCUCGAAAUAAAUUACUGAGGAGGAGGGAGAAGCAGAGAGGAGGCGCAGGUUCUACUUCAGAACUUUUAAAUAUGGCCAAUCCUAAGCAUGCCACGGUUGCCGAGCCCGGGAGCUCGCGGGCGCAGCGCGCACACCUCCUCCCAGCUGCCCGCGGCGGCCGCCGGUUUGUAAUUUUAUCAGGAGCCACUCGCCGUGUGCUGGGCGGUGAUGUCACCUGAUUAGCAUAACAGCAUUGUAUUAGAAAUGCAGGCUAUACCACGAGGAGGGGCGCGGGGGAGCCUAGCCGGCCCGCGACCCCCUACCGGUCCCGCACGGUCCGCGGUCGCCCCAGCCGCCCGGCAGCCGCCGACCCCCGGCCGGGCCCUGGACUCGCCGCGGUAGUGCCUUCCCAAACAGAGCUGCUGGAAUUACAAUCUUUUGUUGAGCCUCAUGUAACGGAAAAGUCUCCGAUUACUAUCACUUGAAAAGGCUAGCGCGCCCACGGGACGGCCUGGAGAGUGAAGAGCCCCAAGGGUCCCGGGCCCGCGCGGCUCAUUCACUCUCUAGCGUCUGCUGAGGUAACGCGGCCCGCACCUGGGCGCGCGCGACUGCCCCAGUGCGCUGGCGCCAACCACGCGGCGGCGGCCCGGCGAGCCACCGGGAAGAAGUCAGACAAAGUCACUCUCAGGGCGCUGUGCAGCGCCACAGCCAGGGGAGGUGUAAGUUCGGGCUCAGUGAAGAAUCUCGGCUGACUUACGCUGCCAUCAGGGGAUAUGAAGGCGGUGGUUUCCUGGAAUAACACGGGCCUAUGAUAGGAAUUCGACGCAAGGAAGAUUUAUGGGAGCACCGAUUUGCAAGGCAUUGUGGGAAAAAGGUACACAGCUGUCUCAACAAAGAGGAACAGAGCACUAAAGCUAAAUAACCCCCAUGAAGGACCAACCCUCUUCCGGCAGUCCCCAAAUGAAGAGCAAUUGUAUUCCUUUAAUUCAGUCAUAAAUCAACUCUCAAUUCUAUGAGAUUUUUCACAGAAGAACGGAGCGCCUCAAAAGUGGAUCAAGGCAGAAAUGGAUGUGGAAAUUAUCAUCCUGUACCUUUGAGGUAAAGAGGCUUCUACAGCUCUGGCAUGAGCUACCACAGGUCAUAACCAUUAGGAAAGAAACUGGAAUGUUACCAUGCCAGGCUUUGUAAGUAUUCUGUUAGUUCUCCUCUAUAUUGAUUAAAGUUCGUAAAGUCAAUACCUGGAACAGCCCAGAGGGAAAAUACUUUACCUGUUCUCUUACUUCCCAAGAUACCACAUUUAUUAUCUAAGUCGCACAGGUUAUCAGAUAAACUUGCAGGUUUUUGUUUUAUGAAGAAACAAUAAUCCCCAGGCUACUUUCCAGCAUCCUCUACUGUUACUCUACAAAAUCUUCCUUGGUGACAUCAUCCACUUCUCUGUCUUUGCUGGUUACCCGGUGCUGACAGCUGCUCCCUGCAAGGUGCAGGUGUCUCCUAACAAUCACUAACUCCGCCUGUCGAACACCGAACUCACAGCCCCGACCUCUACGCCCUGCAUCUCCUCCACCACUCCCUCGCUGAAUGGCAUCCCCACUUCUCCUAGCCGCCCCAGACACAAACCUUCGCAGUCACCUUUCAUUUCUCCCUCUCGCUCCACAGGGUGGCCCUAAGGUAACUCGUACCUCCUGAAAAUCUCAUGAGUUAGUUCCAGCAGGAGUUUCUCAUUCCAGCUCCUCAUCUCUCAUUGUAAUCCCUAAUCCAUUCCCCUACAAUGCUACCAGAGGGACCGUGCUAAAAUGUAAUUCCAGUUAUUUUAUCCCCCUAAAAACUAAAAUCUACCAAAUGGCUCCCAAUGCCAUCAGAAUAAUGCCAAGAAGCCUUAGGAGAGAAAAUGAGAUUCUUCACGAGGACCUUGCCCAUCUCUCUAGCCUGGUCCCACUAUCCAUGUCCUAAGCUCUUGCAACUCCUGAGAGAGAAGAAUCAUGUUCUUGUCUCAGUUCCAAACCUAUCACCUGGAACAGCUCUUUGCUCUUCCUGCAAAUCCUAGCUCAGGUAUCACUACAUCCAGGAACCUCCUCAAAUCACUCACCACCACCACCACCUGGUCUGAAUUAGACAACCUUAGACAGUGCCCACAUGCACUCCCUCCGACACCUUAUGCACCGCUGACCUAUCAUUAAAAGACUGCUUCAUAAUUACA
rnacentral:lncRNA from 1 species